rnacentral:rRNA from 1 species
UUCGUGUGAACAGUGGUUGAUCACGAGUUAGUCGGUCCUAAGUUCAAGGCGAAAGCCGAAAAUUUUCAAGUAUUCAAAAAUCAAAGUAUCUUUAGCUAAUUUCUAUUGAAUUUUUAAACACUUGAAUAAUUUUGAACGAAAGGGAAUACGGUUCCAAUUCCGUAACCUGUUGAGUAUCCGUUUGUUAUUAAAUAUGGGCCUCGUGCUCAUCCUGGCAACAGGAACGACCAUAAAGAAGCCGUCGAGAGGUAUCGGAAGAGUUUUCUUUUCUGUUUUAUAGCCGUACUACCAUGGAAGUCUUUCGCAGAGAGAUAUGGUAGAUGGGCUAGAAGAGCAUGACAUAUACUGUUGUGUCGAUAUUUUCUCCUCGGACCUUGAAAAUUUAUGGUGGGGAUACGCAAACUUCUCAACAGGCCGUACCAAUAUCCGCAGCUGGUCUCCAAGGUGAAGAGUCUCUAGUCGAUAGAAUA